rnacentral:sRNA from 1 species
UAAGCUUUUAGGUUCCGGAGUAGCUGUCUCAUGUUCGAACAAACUUAAUAAAAUAUAGAGUCUUUGAUCUAAAAAAAUGCAAUGUUCAAAACGAUGGUUUGGAAGACGGAUAUGUUUUUGUUGAUAUUCAAAAAGGAGUUUUAUAUCGAAUAGGGAUAAUUUCUUUAC